GUGGGGAAUAUUGGGCAAUGGGCGCAAGCCUGACCCAGCAACGCCGCGUGAAGGAAGAAGGCUUUCGGGUUGUAAACUUCUUUUACCAGGGACGAAACAAAUGACGGUACCUGGUGAAUAAGCCACGGCUAACUACGUGCCAGCAGCCGCGGUAAUACGUAGGUGGCGAGCGUUAUCCGGAUUUAUUGGGUGUAAAGGGCGUGUAGGCGGGACAGCAAGUCAGAUGUGAAAACCAGAGGCUCAACCUCUGGCCUGCAUUUGAAACUGUUGUUCUUGAGUGUCGGAGAGGUAAUCGGAAUUCCGUGUGUAGCGGUGAAAUGCGUAGAUAUCAGGAAGAACACCGGUGGCGAAGGCGGCUUGCUGGACAGUAACUGACGUUGAGGCUCGAAAGCGUGGGGAGCAAACAGGAUUAGAUACCCCGGUAGUCC
rnacentral:rRNA from 1 species